GACGAACGCUGGCGGCGUGCUUAACACAUGCAAGUCGAACGGAAAGGCCCUGCUUUUGUGGGGUGCUCGAGUGGCGAACGGGUGAGUAACACGUGAGUAACCUGCCCUUGACUUUGGGAUAACUUCAGGAAACUGGUGCUAAUACCGGAUAGGAGCUCCUGCUGCAUGGUGGGGGUUGGAAAGUUUCGGCGGUUGGGGAUGGACUCGCGGCUUAUCAGCUUGUUGGUGGGGUAGUGGCUUACCAAGGCUUUGACGGGUAGCCGGCCUGAGAGGGUGACCGGCCACAUUGGGACUGAGAUAAGGCACAGACUCCUACGGGAGGCAGCAGUGGGGAAUAUUGCACAAUGGGCGGAAGCAUGAUGCAGCAACGCCGCGUGCGGGAUGACGGCCUUCGGGUUGUAAACCGCUUUCGCCUGUGACGAAGCGUGAGUGACGGUAAUGGGUAAAGAAGCCCCGGCUAACUACGUG
rnacentral:rRNA from 1 species